ensembl:lncRNA
CAGGAAACUCUGGCCCUGCCAGUUGAUCCUCAAUCCAAGAAGCAGGUUCAGGCGGACCGACCGGCGGCUCCACUGCAGCCGAGCGGUGCCGACGCGGCCUCCUGUGGCGGGUCUCCAGACAGGUCCCGAUGGACGCAGAGGUCUGCAGCAGGCAGCGAGCGGACAGGAAGAACAGCUGCAGGUAAACAACUGACACCCAGAGGCCGUUACAGUGUAGGUCAAAGGUCAGCUCAGCAAGAACCUGUUCAUGACAGCAGUGUGUGUGUGUGUGUGUCUGCAGGUCCUGUCCAGCAAUGGCCACUGAGGACCAGGUCCAUCCUGAAUGACAGAAAGUUCCAGAUUUUUGGGCCUAAGCCUGUGCAGGCUGACCAGGCCUCCUUCAUGUCCACUGUGAGGUCUCUGCUGUGGAAAACCAACGAUGAGCUCCUGCAGUCCUCCGAGGACUUCUACUGCAGAAGGCGCAUCGGGACCUUCCAGCUGCUUCCUGAAUCUCUGCAGCAGUGGGUGGAGAGCAUGCAGCAAAGGCUGCUGGGAAUCCAGGAACAGCAGAGAGAGUCAGUGAGGAUGAGCAGAGAAGGUACACACAUGUCAGGGCUCAGGGCUGAGUGUGGGGACAGCUGGACUGUCUGUCUGUGUCUGACUGUCUGUCUGUGUCGGACUGACUGUCUGUCUGCGUGACUGUCUCUCUGUCUGUCUCUGUCUCCCUGUCUGUCUGUCUCCCUGUCUGUGUCUGACUGUCUCUGUCUCUCUGACUGUCUGUGUCUGUCUGUGUGUCUGUCUGCCUGUCUGUCUGUCUCUGUCUCUCCGUCUGUCUGUCUUUCUGUCUCUGUCUCUCUGUCUGUCUGUCUCUCUGUCUGCCUGUCUCUGUCUCUCUGUCUGUCUGUCUGUCUCUGUAUAUGUCUCUCUGCCUGUCUGUCUGUCUCUGUAUAUGUCUCUCUGCCUGUCUGUCUGUCUCUGUCUCUCCGUCUGUCUGUCUUUCUGUCUGUCUCUGUAUCUGUCUCUCUGUCUCUGUCUCUCUGUCUGUCUGUCUGUGUGUGUCUCAGCUGUGGUGAAGCAGGUGUCCAAGCUGCAGCAGCUGCUGCGUCUGUCUCCUGAGGUGUUGGUCAGUGACCUGGAGGAGCAGCAGGACGCUCAGCUCUCGGAGGACGUGAGCAGGAUCAGACAGACGCUGAGGGAGAGCCUGGCAGCGGGCGAGGAGGCCAGGGCCGAGGUCGUCCGUAAGGUGCGGUACUCUCUGAGUGAGGACGAGCUGCACGCGCUGAACCACAGACAGGAGCUGAGGCAGCAGCAGCUGACCCGCGACGUCUGCGCCGCACACCUGGAGCUGCAGGAGUGUGUUCAGGCCAGGUGGGCAGAGUUUGUGACAGCACUGGGCUCUUUGACCGAGAAGCUGCUGCAUCUGAUGGACAACGUACUCACAGCUACAGAAACAGAUGCUGAAGGCGUUGCCAUGGAGAUGGGAGCAAAAACAGGAGAAAGCAGCCAAAGACGCAGGUAACGCCUGACCUCUGACCUCAACGGUACAGAUAUAUGUAACUCUGACACAGUACAGUGAUCCUCUGUGUGUGUGUGUGUCUGUGUGUCUCCUUAGGACCUGGGCCGGUAUAUCGUACCAGCUCCUACUGACUGACAGCACUGCUAACCCACCAUCCUCUGCUGUCACAGCAACAACAGCAUCUGUCACCACGGUGAAGAGC